rnacentral:rRNA from 1 species
GACGAACGCUGGCGGCGUGCCUAAUACAUGCAAGUAGAACGCUGAAGAGAGGAGCUUGCUCUUCUUGGAUGAGUUGCGAACGGGUGAGUAACGCGUAGGUAACCUGCCUUGUAGCGGGGGAUAACUAUUGGAAACGAUAGCUAAUACCGCAUAACAAUGGAUGACACAUGUCAUUUAUUUGAAAGGGGCAAUUGCUCCACUACAAGAUGGACCUGCGUUGUAUUAGCUAGUAGGUGAGGUAACGGCUCACCUAGGCGACGAUACAUAGCCGACCUGAGAGGGUGAUCGGCCACACUGGGACUGAGACACGGCCCAGACUCCUACGGGAGGCAGCAGUAGGGAAUCUUCGGCAAUGGGGGCAACCCUGACCGAGCAACGCCGCGUGAGUGAGGAAGGUUUUCGGAUCGUAAAGCUCUGUUGUAAGUCAAGAACGAGUGUGAGAGUGGAAAGUUCACACUGUGACGGUAGCUUACCAGAAAGGGACGGCUAACUACGUGCCAGCAGCCGCGGUAAUACGUAGGUCCCGAGCGUUGUCCGGAUUUAUUGGGCGUAAAGCGAGCGCAGGCGGUUUGAUAAGUCUGAAGUUAAAGGCUGUGGCUCAACCAUAGUUCGCUUUGGAAACUGUCAAACUUGAGUGCAGAAGGGGAGAGUGGAAUUCCAUGUGUAGCGGUGAAAUGCGUAGAUAUAUGGAGGAACACCGGUGGCGAAAGCGGCUCUCUGGUCUGUAACUGACGCUGAGGCUCGAAAGCGUGGGGAGCGAACAGG